AAGCCAAAGACUCAUA
rnacentral:sRNA from 1 species